rnacentral:lncRNA from 1 species
CUCAAUUUCCCUCGCUCCCCCCGAAUUCGAAAACGCUUUCUGUUGCGGAGGCUCCUUGAGAUGGUGAGGUUUAGGGCUGAGGGAGCCACUGGGGGUGGGAGGGAUUUGUGGCUGGUGGUGCUAGGUUCUCAGCUGGCUGCUCUUUGGCUCUUCCCCCCAGCUGUUCUUUACCCAGCUCCAGGUGGGGCUGAUCCAGCAGGUAAGUGGGUGAGAAGGUGGGUGGCAGGGGCCAGAUGCAGCCGGAUACUGAUCUGGUGCCCUCCUUUGCAGUGGAUGGUCCCCACCAUCCAGAAUUCCAUGAAGCCCUUCAAGGUGAGCAGCUGGGCUCUCCUGUGGCUGGGGUAGGUUGGGUGGGGGCCACAGCCGCUGAGGCAGCCUGUCUCUUCAGGAUAUGGACUACUCUCGAAUCAUUGAGCGCCUCCUGAAGCUCGCUGUGAGUACUAGCAGUGGGCAGGGUGGGGGAGCACAAGUGGCAGGUGGGCAUCUGGAACCUGGAGCCCCCUCCCUUACAGGUCCCAAAUCACCUCAUCUGGCUCAUCUUCUUCUACUGGCUCUUCCACUCCUGCUUGAAUGCUGUGGCGGAACUCAUGCAGUUUGGAGACCGGGAGUUCUACCGGGAUUGGUGGUGGGUGGCCUUGAGGGUGGCCCUGGGGACUGGGGUGGGCUGCAGCAUGCCUUGCUCACCCCAUUGUCUCUCAACAGGAACUCUGAGUCUGUCACCUACUUCUGGCAGAACUGGAACAUCCCCGUGCACAAGUGGUGCAGCAGGUGCGUGAGUGCUGUGUGUGCAUGUGUAGGAUGUAGGUGUGCACCUGGGCCUCUCCCUGUCCUAGGGCAUCAUCCUGUAGCCUCCUUCCCUUGCAGGCACUUCUACAAGCCCAUGCUACGCCGGGGUAGCAGUAGGUGGGUGGCCAGGACAGGGGUGUUCCUGGCCUCCGCCUUCUUCCACGAGGUCAGUGCUGUGAGGGCAUCCUGCCUCACCUCUGGGCAGGGGUGUAGCCACUGAGACAUUGAUGGCCUAUUCUCUCCUCACCCUAGUACCUCGUAAGCAUCCCCCUGCGAAUGUUCCGCCUCUGGGCGUUCACAGCCAUGAUGGCUCAGGUGAGCAACACCCCAAAUGCCUCACCCACCUGAACCCUGUGCCAAGCCCCAUUCCCUGUGGUUACUGCCUGCUGACCUUGGUCCUAUGUGUCCUCAGAUCCCAUUGGCCUGGAUUGUGGGCCGCUUCUUCCAGGGCAACUAUGGAAAUGCAGCUGUGUGGCUGACACUCAUCAUUGGGCAACCAGUGGCGGUGCUCAUGUAUGUCCAUGACUACUACGUGCUCAACUAUGAGGCUCCCACAGCAGGGGCCUGAACUGCCCAGGCUUGACUGCCCACAUCCAGGACAGACAGCCCUCCCUGCCUGUCCAAACCUGAGGGAACCUGGCUGCUGAGCCUUCCUCCUGCCCCAGGAGGCCUCUCUGCCCCUAUGGGGCUCCCUCCUGCUCCCCUUAGGGAUGGCAACAGUAGAGUCUGGCCCAGCUGGCAGGAGCCAGUGCCUUCUUUGGGAGUCUGUGCUGACUUGGGAAAGAGGGUGCCAAUAAAGUGCUGUCUAGAGUGACUCUCCCCUCAGCCUCCUGGGGGCUACUGGGAGGGAUGGUCCAG